CCCCUAGUAACGGCGAGUGAAGAGGGAAGAGCCCAAGAUUGAAAGCUGGCGUCUUCGACGUCCGCAUUGUAAUCUCAAGAAGUGUUUUCCGCUUCGGACCAUGCCUAAGUCCCUUGGAAAAGGGCAUCAUAGAGGGUGAUAAUCCCGUACAUGGCAUGGAGCGCCCGAGGCUUUGUGAUACGCUUUCUAAGAGUCGAGUUGUUUGGGAAUGCAGCUCAAAAUGGGUGGUAAAUGCCAUCUAAGGCUAAAUAUUGGGGAGAGACCGAUAGCGAACAAGUACAGUGAUGGAAAGAUGAAAAGAACUUUGAAAAGAGAGUUAAACAGUACGUGAAAUUGCCAAAAGGGAAGGGUAGGAGGUCAGAGAUGCGUCUUGGGAUUCAGCCUUGCUUUUGCUUGGUGUUUUUCCCAAGUUGCAGGCCAACGUCGGUUUUGGGCACUGGAGAAGGGUGGAAGGAACGUGGCACCUCUCGGGGUGUGUUAUAGCCUUCCACUGGAUACAGCGACCGAGACCGAGGACAGCAGCGUACUCGCAAGAGCGGGCCUUCGGGCACCUUUACGCUUAGGGCGUUGGCAUAAUGGCCCUCUACCACCCGUCUUGAAACACGGGACCA
rnacentral:rRNA from 1 species